ensembl:lncRNA
GGGAAGCUGUUAGAUCAUGGCUUGAACUGGUGACUGAGCACACCUGGUGAAGGGGUGUGGAUGACCCAGGGAGCACAGGCAAAGUGUUUUCACCUGUGCUCUCCACUUGUCCAGAAGGUCUGGACCCAGGAUGGAGACACACUGGGCUCACACAUGGGCAGCUACUACAGGGAAAGCAUCACUUGGACCUAGGCUGCUUUCUGAGAAGGUGUGUUGUGUAGCUUGAGAUGCCCUUCAGCAGAUGGCUUACAGGACAAAGAGGAAGAGUGUGGCCAGGACCUUGCAGGUUAAGAGACUCCUGCUGUGAUGGUUUGUGCCACUCUGCAGCUGGCAAGGCAGAAGGCAAGCAGAACUGGCAUGAGCCCUGAAAUGCUCAAAGCUCAGCGGGAAGAGCACCACCAAUUGAAGUUUUUAUGCCAUUUUAGAUUCUCUUCCUACUUCUUGCCUUAUUUCCUUUACAUGGCAGUGAAUCUCCUGUCUGUGGGCUGGAAAAUAAAUUGUCUUGCUAAACUUCCUUAGGAUGCAGGCACUUUGCAGACACUGAGCAAAAAGCCACUCAUUGGAUUUAGCAAGCAACUGCUAUGUUUGUGAAAAAGAUUAUUCAGACCAAUAUAUGGAAGAAUUUCAUUUUUCAUCUAGGCAGAAAGAUGAUGGGAAGAGAUGGAUAUAGAAAGACAACAGCUCCUCAAUCUCUACACAAAAGGGAGCUUAUGAUCUGUUAAUCCAUUUCCAGCUUGGGUGGAUGCUUUUUCCUGUGGGGUGGGGAUACAGUUGUACCAACAAUCUCUUUCAGCCUGUUCCAUUGCUUACGUGCUCCCAGUUGGUAAAAUGGACACUCCACCCCCAGACAGAUCACAUUGUUUCUACUCAUUUCAUUAAAACUGCAU